GACGAACGCUGGCGGCGUGCUUAACACAUGCAAGUCGAGCGGAAAGGCCCUGAUUGCAGGGUACUCGAGUGGCGAACGGGUGAGUAACACGUGGAGAUAUGCCCUGCUCCUCGGGAUAAGCCUGGGAAACUGGGACUAAUACCGGAAAUGACCUUACAUGUAGUGUGGGGGGGGGCAAGAUCUAUCGGUGUGGGAUGAGCCCGCGACCCAUCAGCUUGUUGGUGGGGUAACGGCCUACCAACGCGUCGGCGGAUAGACGGCCUGGGAGGGUGGACAGCGACAAUGGGACUAAGGGACGGCGCAGACGCCUACAGGAGGCAGCAGUGGCGAAUAUUGCACAAUGAGCGGAAGCCUGAUGCAGCGACGCCGCGUGGGGGAUGACGGCCUGCGGGGUGUAAACCUCAGUCGGCAGGGACGAAGCUGCGGUGACGGUACCUGUAUAAGAAGCACCGGCUAACUACGUG
rnacentral:rRNA from 1 species